UACAGAGGUCCCAAGCGUUGUUCGGAAUCACUGGGCGUAAAGGGCGCGUAGGCGGCCAUAUAAGUCGGGGGGUGAAAGCCUGUGGCUCAACCACAGAAUUGCCUUCGAUACUGUAUGGCUCGAGACCGGAAGAGGUAAGUGGAACUGCGAGUGUAGAGGUGAAAUUCGUAGAUAUUCGCAAGAACACCAGUGGCGAAGGCGGACUUACUGGUCCGGUUCUGGACGCUGAGGCGCGAAAGCGUGGGGAGCAAACAGG
rnacentral:rRNA from 1 species